GUGGGAGGGCACGCUGUCGUUCUGAGCCUGCGCGUGCCGAGCCGCCCUUCGUCCCCAUGGCAACGGCUGGUGGGGGUCCGGGAUUUUGGAAUGAGAACAUAUUUGAAUAUUUUCUUAAAAAUAACCAGAUUAAAUCAGAAGAUGGAGCUGAAAUCAUCUGGUAUCAUGCAGCUAACCAUAAGUCACAAAUGAAGGAGGCAGUAAAAAGUAGUGCUCACAUGAUUGAGGCAGAUAUUCUUCUUUCCUGUGAUGAAUCAGAACACAGACAACCCAUAAUGGCUCAUCCUCCUGAAAUAAGCAGUGAUAAUACUCUUCAGGAAUGGCUAAAUGAAGUUUUAAAAACUAACAAAGGUAUCAAACUUGACUUUAAAAGUCUGGAAGCAGUGAAACCAUCCAUGAUACUUCUGGAAAAUGUUAAGAUGCAUCUGAAUCGUCCUGUGUGGAUUAAUGCUGACAUACUUCCUGGUCCCAAUGGAAAAAAUGUUGAGUUGGAUGCAAAGAAAUUCCUAGAUACUGUGACAUCCUUUUUCCAACAUGUGACUUUAUCUCUGGGCUGGACUACUGGAUGGUACCCUAAUCAACUCAAUGAAGGCUACAGUUGGACAAUGGUAAAAAAUAUGGAAUAUAUAUGUAAUAAACUAAAUCAGCCUGUAACAUUUCCUGUCAGAGCAGCAUUAGUUAAGCAAUCUUAUGAUCAGUUGCUUUGGCUGGUACAGCAAUCACAUAGGGAGAAUGAUCUUUGGAUAGGAAAGGCUAAAACAAAAAUGGUUAACAGAGAAUUGAAAAACAGAUAAGUAAAAAGAUAGAAAUCAAGCACUCAGUUGCCUUCAAUUAGUUUAAGCCAUCAUACAAGUAAUAAUUACUUCUCAAAACAUUGAAAGGACUAAUCUGUGUAACUGCUGAGCCAUUGUCAAUGAUCUUUGAAAGAUUGUGGAGAAUGGGAGAGAUAUCAAAGGACUGGAGAGGAGCAAAGAUCUUGACUCUUUAAUGGCAAAAAAAGGUACAGUCUGACUAUUUGGACAGGAAAAGAUGAUAUAUACCCCACUGAAGAUUUGCUCUUUGUCAGAGAACAUUUUGGGAAAAAGCAAGUUUUCUAUGAUAUCUUAGAGUCACAAAACCAAGAAUUCAAACAAACUAUUGG